AUGCAAGAGAUUGGGCUUAAGGAAGAGGCCCUGGACGACGUAGUAUUCGAUGAGGCCGACAUCCCUGAAGAUGCAGCUCGUUGGGUUGCUAUCGCGCGGGUGAACUCAGUCAAAACCUAUAGCCAGACGUGGUUUUUUCGCAACAUGAGAUCUGCUUGGGACCUUGCUCAGGAGGUCAAAUUCAGGCCAUUGGAAGAUAAUCUGUACACCAUCCAAUUUUCUUGCCUGGGUGAUUGGGAGAGGGUGAUGCAAGAGGGGCCAUGGCACUUCAGGGGAGAUGAUGUCAUUAUCAAGCCAUACGAUGGGGUGACGAAACCGACCACCAUCAAGCUGGACACAAUAGAUAUUUGGGUCCAUAUCCAUGACGUACCCGACUUGUUUGCUCACCUUAUUGAACCACUUGCGGGCAGGAUAGGAGAUGUCUUGUUUGUUGAACCUCCUUCACAGGAUUUUGUUGGAAAUUUCCAAUGUGUUUGGGUAAGAAUUGAAGUGACAAAGCCUUUGAAGAAUGUUGUGUCUAUGGUAAGGGGAGGAAAGCAUCAGAUUUAUCGGGUUAAAUAUGAGAAGUUGCCCGAUUGGUGUGUGGUAUGUGGGAUGUUGGGUCAUCUCUUCAAAGAACACGGGUUUGGUGUGCAUCCACCUUUUGCCUUAGUGUUCAAAGAUCUGAGGGCAGGCUGGUAUAUGAGAACUGGCAGAGGGCCUGGUGGUGGACGAGGCCGCCGUGGCGGCCGCAAAGGAGGACGUACUGGCGGAAGAUGA
rnacentral:rRNA from 1 species